CCCUUCGGGGUGUGACUGCGUACCUUUUGUAUAAUGGGUCAGCGACUUAUAUUCUGUAGCAAGGUUAACCGUAUAGGGGAGCCGGAGGGAAACCGAGUCUUAAUUGGGCGUUAAGUUGCAGGGUAUAGACCCGAAACCCGGUGAUCUAGCCAUGGGCAGGUUGAAGGUUGGGUAACACUAACUGGAGGACCGAACCGACUAAUGUUGAAAAAUUAGCGGAUGACCUGUGGCUGGGGGUGAAAGGCCAAUCAAACCGGGAGAUAGCUGGUUCUCCCCGAAAGCUAUUUAGGUAGCGCCUCGUGAAUUCAUCUCCGGGGGUAGAGCACUGUUUCGGCUAGGGGGCCAUCCCGGCUUACCAACCCGAUGCAAACUGCGAAUACCGGAGAAUGUUAUCACGGGAGACACACGGCGGGUGCUAACGUCCGUCGUGAAGAGGGAAACAACCCAGACCGCCAGCUAAGGUCCCAAAGUCAUGGUUAAGUGGGAAACGAUGUGGGAAGGCCCAGACAGCCAGGAUGUUGGCUUAGAAGCAGCCAUCAUUUAAAGAAAGCGUAAUAGCUCACUGGUCGAGUCGGCCUGCGCGGAAGAUGUAACGGGGCUAAACCAUGCACCGAAGCUGCGGCAGCGAACGUAUCACCCAAGACAACUUUACGGAGUUGACGAUUGACGGAGCGAAGCGACGUCAAAGCGUUCAUUAAAGUCGAGUUGGCUUAGGGAUACGUUCGUUGGGUAGGGGAGCGUUCUGUAAGCCUGUGAAGGUGUGUCGUGAGGCAUGCUGGAGGUAUCAGAAGUGCGAAUGCUGACAUAAGUAACGAUAAAGCGGGUGAAAAGCCCGCUCGCCGGAAGACCAAGGGUUCCUGUCCAACGUUAAUCGGGGCAGGGUGAGUCGACCCCUAAGGCGAGGCCGAAAGGCGUAGUCGAUGGGAAACGGGUUAAUAUUCCCGUACUUGGUGUUACUGCGAAGGGGGGACGGAGAAGGCUAUGUUGGCCGGGCGACGGUUGUCCCGGUUUAAGCGUGUAGGUGUGUGUUCCAGGUAAAUCCGGUUCACUUUAACACUGAGGCGUGACGAC
rnacentral:rRNA from 1 species